AAGAUCUGAUUUCUCCUUCAUUUUAUCUCUUUUUUAUCUUACAAAAAUAAGAAUUAAACAAUUGUAAAUCCUCUAUAAAGGUUCCCCUAUCAUCCAAGCAAAGAUCUACAACAUUUCAACUCCGUUUCACCGUUGAAAUGUUCAUAGAGAUUGUGUUACUUCUUUCCUCCUUGUUAGUUGUGAUUUGAAGGAUUCCUCAUGGUGAAGGAGUCUCGUUUUUUAUGUUGUGUUGCUGCUUUUUAUAGGUCCAGGUAGGGAUUUUGAUUGAUCUCUCAGCUAGGAUUCAAAUUUCAAGUGUGAGUUGGUAAGAUCCACAUCUUCCUAGAGCUUUCAUAGGAUGUUAUUUUUAUUGUACAUUUUGGGUAUAAUCGGGGACUUAUCCUGAGCGGUGCUUAUGUCACUCUUACAGGCUAUAGACAUGAUAUUUUAGGCUUCUUUCUCCAGCUUAUAGUCUCCUUCCCUAUAGGAUUGUCAUAUUUAUAUAUGUAACGUACGUAUGUAUACUUUCAUUUGCAUUCUUAUCAGUUAGCUAGUACUUUAUUAUA